AAGAACAUUUUUAAAAGGUCAAUGAAGAAGUUUCAAAGUGGAUAGAACAGAGGAAGAACCGAAUCUGUAAGAGAGAAUAUAUCUCUCUAUCUGUCGUCUCUAAUCACAUAUACAAGAGGAAAUAACACACAAGAGUAUCAAAGCUCCAUUUUUUUUCUCCGCACAUCACCACUAAUUCGCCAAUGGCUUCUCUGAAUCUUUCACCAGUUGUUUCUGUAUCUAAUUAGGGUAUGUGAUUGCAGAGCAGUUUCCAUCCCUAGAGGUAUUUGUUGGUGUUCCUUACUGUAGCGGAGGAGUUUCAUUUCGUGUUCGGUCUGAACAAUCUCUGUCGUCCUCAUCCGAUCUUCAGGGUCUGUGUUUUCUUUGCAUUUGAAUGUAAUUGAAGAAAAAGAAAAACCAUUUACAUAGUUUUGUUUUUUUGUAUUUUGGUUCAAGAUAAAUGUGAGAGGAGGCGUGUGGUGAUAACAUUAGUUCUUGUUGCUCCUUGGAUCUCAUUGCUUCAUUUGGUGCAGAAAGCAAGAAAGGAUUUCAUGACCGUCUCUGACAAUAAGGAUGCUUAUUCCUUCCUCUACCCCUUUGGCUGGCAGGAAGCUAUGAUUGAAGGUCAAGACAAGGUCUACAAAGACGUCAUUGAGCCUUUUUAAAAAUGUAAUUCACUUAUAAUUGCACACAACACACAAAGCUUUUUAACUUGUCAAAGAGAAGAAAAAAUGGGCAAACCAGACAAAGUAGAACCAGCGUCAACAAUGUAAACAUUCCCAGAGACAUACCUGGAAGAGUCAUGAAUCAGAUACCUAACCAGCGAGGUAAGCCCCGGGUCCACACUCUGCUGCACCUUCAACGGUACAAUCCUCUCCCUCACAUUCUUCAUCCACUCUUUCCUCAUCAGACCUUCCGUGAUCUCCGACUUAAACAGCCCCGGCGCUAUCGAGUUCACUCUUAUACCAUACUCACCCAUCUCCACCGCCAUCAUCUUCGUCAUAAUAUCCAGCCCUCCUUUCGAACACGCGUACGCCAACGCGCCCGGUAGCUUCCCGCGCUGAAGCCCCGCGAUGGAGGAAACGUUUAUCACCGAACCUCCUCCGCGUUUGGCGUCGCGCAUUAGAACGCAGACGUGUUUUGAUACUAGCCAAGGUCCGGUUAGGUUUGUUCUGAAGACUCUUUCCCAUUCUUCUUCGGAUAGGUCAAGACUCGACUUGACGUUUCCUCUGAUGCCUGCGUUGUUGAUCAAGACGUCGAUGUGUCCGAAGAUGUCCCAAGCUUGUUUGACGGCGUUUCGGAUGGUGGAUGUGUCUGAGGAGACGUCUAGCUCGAGAGGUGCGGCGAGUUUGGUUUUUGUUGAGAAGGCGUUGAUCUCGGAGCAGAGGGAUUGGAGACGGUCGAGACGACGAGCGGCUGCGAUGAUCUUGCAGCCGGAUUUGGCUAGAUCGAGGCAGAUCUCUCUUCCGAUGCCGGAUGAAGCUCCUGUUAGGAGAACCACUUUGUCUUUGAGCUCGCACCAUGGCUCUAGUUGCUUCAUCACCUGCUUUUUGGAUCAAUAAAAGAUAGAAACAUUUGAAUGGUAAUGGUGUUACAAAGAUAAGAGAUCUCAUCAACGUUGUAUCUUACAGUCUGAUGAUUGCUGCUCAUAGUGUUUCUCACUGUGAAGCUGUCUCUUUCUCCGAAGUC